UACGUAGGGUGCAAGCGUUGUCCGGAAUUAUUGGGCGUAAAGAGCUCGUAGGCGGUCUGUUGCGUCGGCUGUGAAAACCCGGGCUCAACUCCGGGCCUGCAGCCGAUACGGGCAGACUAGAGUUCGGCAGGGGAGACUGGAAUUCCUGGUGUAGCGGUGAAAUGCGCAGAUAUCAGGAGGAACACCGGUGGCGAAGGCGGGUCUCUGGGCCGAUACUGACGCUGAGGAGCGAAAGCGUGGGGAGCGAACAGG
rnacentral:rRNA from 1 species